rnacentral:rRNA from 1 species
CCUACGGGAUGCCGCAGUAGGGAAUAUUGCUCAAUGGGGGAAACCCUGAAGCAGCAAAGCCGCGUGGCGGAUGAAGGUUUUCGGAUUGUAAACUCCUUUUGUUAGAGAAGAUAAUGACGGUAUCUAACGAAUAAGCACCGGCUAACUCCGUGCCAGCAGCCGCGGUAAUACGGCGGGUGCAAGCGUUACUCGGAAUCACUGGGCGUAAAGAGCGCGUAGGCGGGAUAGCAAGUCAGAUGUGAAAUCCUAGGGCUUAACCAUAGAACUGCAUUUGAAACUGUUAUUCUAGAGUAUGGGAGAGGUAGGUGGAAUUCUUGGUGUAGGGGUAAAAUCCGUAGAGAUCAAGAGGAAUACUCAUUGCGAAGGCGACCUGCUAGAACAUAACUGACGCUGAUGCGCGAAAGCGUGGGGAGCAAACAGGAUUAGAUACCCCAGUAGUC